rnacentral:rRNA from 1 species
UACGUAGGUGGCGAGCGUUGUCCGGAUUUACUGGGCGUAAAGCGCGCGCAGGCGGUUUUUCAAGUCAGUGGUGAAAGCCCGGAGCUCAACUCCGGAACUGCCAUUGAAACUGUGAAACUUGAGGAUGAGAGAGGUGAGUGGAAUUCCCAGUGUAGAGGUGAAAUUCGUAGAUAUUGGGAAGAACACCGGUGGCGAAGGCGGCUCACUGGCUCAUUUCUGACGCUCAGGCGCGACAGCGUGGGGAGCAAACAGG